rnacentral:rRNA from 1 species
GAUGAACGCUGGCGGCGUGCCUAAUACAUGCAAGUCGAGCGAACAGACGAGGAGCUUGCUCCUCUGACGUUAGCGGCGGACGGGUGAGUAACACGUGGAUAACCUACCUAUAAGACUGGGAUAACUUCGGGAAACCGGAGCUAAUACCGGAUAAUAUAUUGAACCGCAUGGUUCAAUAGUGAAAGACGGUUUUGCUGUCACUUAUAGAUGGAUCCGCGCCGCAUUAGCUAGUUGGUAAGGUAACGGCUUACCAAGGCAACGAUGCGUAGCCGACCUGAGAGGGUGAUCGGCCAAACUGGAACUGAGACACGGUCCAGACUCCUAAGGGAGGCAGCAGUAGGGAAUCUUCCGCAAUGGGCGAAAGCCUGACGGAGCAACGCCGCGUGAGUGAUGAAGGUCUUCGGAUCGUAAAACUCUGUUAUUAGGGAAGAACAAAUGUGUAAGUAACUAUGCACGUCUUGACGGUACCUAAUCAGAAAGCCACGGCUAACUACGUG